GGCCUUGUGGUGUUUUACAUGUUAGGUUGCAAACCUGAAGUUGUAGAUUAUAACUCUACCGGGGCUU
rnacentral:tRNA from 1 species